rnacentral:rRNA from 1 species
GUAGGGUAAUGGCCUACCAUGGCUUCGACGGGUAGCCGGCCUGAGAGGGUGACCGGCCACACUGGGACUGAGACACGGCCCAGACUCCUACGGGAGGCAGCAGUGGGGAAUAUUGGACAAUGGGCGAAAGCCUGAUCCAGCAACGCCGCGUGAGGGAUGACUGCCUUCGGGUUGUAAACCUCUUUCAGUAUCGACGAAGCUGUGCCUUUUUGGGUGUGGUAACGGUAGGUACAGAAGAAGCACCGGCCAACUACGUGCCAGCAGCCGCGGUAAUACGUAGGGUGCGAGCGUUGUCCGGAAUUAUUGGGCGUAAAGGGCUCGUAGGCGGUUUGUCGCGUCGGGAGUGAAAACACUGGGCUUAACUCAGUGCUUGCUUCCGAUACGGGCAGACUAGAGGUAUGCAGGGGAGAACGGAAUUCCUGGUGUAGCGGUGAAAUGCGCAGAUAUCAGGAGGAACACCGGUGGCGAAGGCGGUUCUCUGGGCAUUACCUGACGCUGAGGAGCGAAAGUGUGGGGAGCGAACAGGAUUAGAUACCCUGGUAGUCCACACCGUAAACGUUGGGCGCUAGGUGUGGGGCCUAUUCCAUGGGUUCCGUGCCGCA